CUUUCAGUGGCUAGUACGCAAGGGCCUCCCUUUUGGGGUACAGGAGAAAGUAGCGCCAAGUAGGCCCGGACCCCAAUCUGUCAAGGCGGAGAUCACGGGUUCGAAUCCCGUCCGGGUCGCCA
rnacentral:tRNA from 1 species